rnacentral:rRNA from 1 species
GGCGAACGCUGGCGGCGUGCUUAACACAUGCAAGUCGAACGGUGAAGCGCCUUCCUUUUUGGUGGGUGUGGAUGAGUGGCGAACGGGUGAGUAACACGUGAGUAACCUGCCCCCUUCUUCUGGAUAACCGCAUGAAAGUGUGGCUAAUACGGGAUAUUCUGGGUCUGUCGCAUGAUGGGUCUGGGAAAGAUAUUGUUUCGGUGGGGGAUGGGCUCGCGGCCUAUCAGCUUGUUGGUGGGGUGAUGGCCUACCAAGGCGGUGACGGGUAGCCGGCCUGAGAGGGUGGACGGUCACACGGGGACUGAGACGCGGCGCAGACUCCUACGGGAGGAAGAAGUGGGGAAUAUUGCACAAUGGGCGCGAGCCUGAUGCAACGACGCCGCGUGAGGGAUGGAGGCCUUCGGGUUGUGAACCUCUUUCGCCAGUGAAGCAGGCCUGCCUUGUAUGUGGGUGGGUUGACGGUAGCUGGAUAAGAAGCGCCGGCUAACUACGUG